CUUGUUGGGGUUGUAGGACUCCAAUAUGGUAGUCUGUUAGUAUAGUUGAAGGAUUUGGAAAAUUCCGCUAAAGAGGGUGAAAGCCCCGUAGACGAAAUGCUAACAACACCUAGGAGGAUCCUGAGUACGGCGGAACACGAGAAAUUCCGUCGGAAUCCGCGGGGACCAUCCCGCAAGGCUAAAUACUCCCUAGUGACCGAUAGUGAACCAGUACCGUGAGGGAAAGGUGAAAAGCACCCCGGAAGGGGAGUGAAAUAGAUCCUGAAACCGUGUGCCUACAACAAGUCAAAGCUCGUUAAUGAGUGAUGGCGUGCCUUUUGUAGAAUGAACCGGCGAGUUACGAUUGCAUGCGAGGUUAAGUCGAAGAGACGGAGCCGCAGCGAAAGCGAGUCUGAAUAGGGCGAAUGAGUAUGUAGUCGUAGACCCGAAACCAUGUGAUCUACCCAUGUCCAGGUUGAAGGUGCGGUAAAACGCACUGGAGGACCGAACCCACGUACGUUGAAAAGUGCGGGGAUGAGGUGUGGGUAGCGGAGAAAUUCCAAACGAACUUGGAGAUAGCUGGUUCUCUCCGAAAUAGCUUUAGGGCUAGCCUCGGAAUUGAGAAUGAUGGAGGUAGAGCACUGUUUGGACUAGGGGCCCAUCUCGGGUUACCGAAUUCAGAUAAACUCCGAAUGCCAUUCAUUUAUAUCCGGGAGUCAGACUGCGAGUGAUAAGAUCCGUAGUCGAAAGGGAAACAGCCCAGACCACCAGCUAAGGUCCCAAAAUAUAUGUUAAGUGGAAAAGGAUGUGGGGUUGCACAGACAACUAGGAUGUUGGCUUAGAAGCAGCCACCAUUUAAAGAGUGCGUAAUAGCUCACUAGUCGAGUGACCCUGCGCCGAAAAUGUACCGGGGCUAAACAUAUUACCGAAGCUGUGGACUACACCAUUAGGUGUAGUGGUAGGAGAGCGUUCUAAGGGCGUUGAAGGUCGAUCGUGAGGACGGCUGGAGCGCUUAGAAGUGAGAAUGCCGGUAUGAGUAGCGAAAGACAGGUGAGAAUCCUGUCCACCGUAUGACUAAGGUUUCCUGGGGAAGGCUCGUCCGCCCAGGGUUAGUCGGGACCUAAGCCGAGGCCGAUAGGCGUAGGCGAUGGACAACAGGUUGAUAUUCCUGUACCAGUUGUUUUUGUUUGAGCAAUGGAGGGACGCAGUAGGCUAAGGAAUGCAUGCGAUUGGAAGUGCAUGUCCAAGCAAUGAGUCUUGAGUAGAGUUAAAUGCUUUACUCUCUAAGGACAAGUUGUGACGGGGAGCGAAAUAAUAGUAGCGAAGUUCCUGAUGUCACACUGCCAAGAAAAGCUUCUAGUGAGAAAACAACUGCCCGUACCGUAAACCGACACAGGUAGUCGAGGAGAGUAUCCUAAGGUGAGCGAGCGAACUCUCGUUAAGGAACUCGGCAAAAUGACCCCGUAACUUCGGGAGAAGGGGUGCUGACUUCGGUCAGCCGCAGUGAAUAGGCCCAAGCGACUGUUUAUCAAAAACACAGGUCUCUGCAAAAUCGUAAGAUGAAGUAUAGGGGCUGACGCCUGCCCGGUGCUGGAAGGUUAAGAGGAUGGGUUAGCUUCGGCGAAGCUCAGAAUUGAAGCCCCAGUAAACGGCGGCCGUAACUAUAACGGUCCUAAGGUAGCGAAAUUCCUUGUCGGGUAAGUUCCGACCCGCACGAAAGGCGUAACGAUUUGGGCACUGUCUCAACGAGAGACUCGGUGAAAUUUUAGUACCUGUGAAGAUGCAGGUUACCCGCGACAGGACGGAAAGACCCCAUGGAGCUUUACUGUAGUUUGAUAUUGAGUGUUUGUACCACAUGUACAGGAUAGGUAGGAGCCGAUGAGACCGGAACGCUAGUUUCGGAGGAGGCGCUGGUGGGAUACUACCCUUGUGUUAUGAACCCUCUAACCCGCACCACUAAUCGUGGUGGGAGACAGUGUCAGAUGGGCAGUUUGACUGGGGCGGUCGCCUCCUAAAAGGUAACGGAGGCGCCCAAAGGUUCCCUCAGAAUGGUUGGAAAUCAUUCGAAGAGUGUAAAGGCAGAAGG
rnacentral:rRNA from 1 species